CUUGUAUAUAACUUGGUGUCUGGUGAGUUAGAGCUAAAAGAGGCUUUCUCUCCACAUUUCUAGGCAUAGAUUUUACAUGUUGAAAUUCUUGCACAUGGAACCUGAAGAUCCAUUGGUGAGAGCAGAUCCUACAGAUGAACAUAUCCUAUAUGGAAAGCCAGAGGAACAGACAUAAUUUCUGUUUAUGUGCAGAAAAAAAUUCAUCUCUUCAGGAAGGAACAAACACUGUAUCAACACUGUGCAGAUGUGUUUUAACCCAGCAGAAUAUUUCAGUGAGUUUUAUGUUCCUUUAAAUACUAAAGUUUGGUCUGUGAAAGAAGCAUGCUGUUGUGAAGCUUCAUCAGACUUCAAGCGGGAUUGGGAUGAAAAGACCCUCUUUCACCUCAAUUAUUGGAAAAUGCAGGCCUCAUUUUCCACUAAAGUUGUGCCCAGACAGUGCAAAGAAGAACUGCAGGAGAAGGAUGAGACCAGCUCUGAGCAAGCAGGAGUAUCUCCACUGCACAGCACUGCAACAUGUUGUCAAAAUUAUUGACAGCAUUUUGGGGAUGCCAUAAUAUUGGCACAGUGUGGAUGGGGCUAUUUCAGGGAUCUUUCCACAAAGUAGCAGAGAUGUAACCAAGCUAUAGUAGUAGCAGCCCAAACAAGCAGCAACAAAAGUUUAAUGGCACAGGGAAACUAGUAAAAAUACCAAAGUUGAUGGUUUUCUUCCAACAAUCAGAAGCGUUCAAAAUUAGAAAUAUUGAAUAAAUAGAAAGAAUGACUUAGUGUCA
rnacentral:lncRNA from 1 species